AGAGCGAACGCUGGCGGCAGGCUUAACACAUGCAAGUCGAGCGCCCCGCAAGGGGAGCGGCAGACGGGAGAGUAACACGUGGGAACGUACCUUUCGGUUCGGAACAACCCAGGGAAACUUGGGCUAAUACCGGAUACGUCCGUAAGGAGAAAGAUUUAUCGCCGAAAGAUCGGCCCGCGUCUGAUUAGCUAGUUGGUGAGGUAACGGCUCACCAAGGUGACGAUCAGUAGCUGGUCUGAGAGGAUGAUCAGCCUCACUGGGACUGAGACACGGCCCAGACUCCUACGGGAGGCAGCAGUGGGGAAUAUUGGACAAUGGGCGCAAGCCUGAUCCAGCCAUGCCGCGUGGGUGAUGAAGGCCCUAGGGUUGUAAAGCCCUUUCGGCGGGAAGAUAAUGACGGUACCCGCAGAAGAAGCCCCGGCUAACUUCGUGCCAGCAGCCGC
rnacentral:rRNA from 1 species